ACAAAAAAAUUGGAUAACAAGGGUUUUUGAACUCGGUAGUCAUGUUGUGUACUUUUUUUUUUCCGUGCAUCACGUAUACUCUGGGGUAAAAACUCUUUUGACUUUUUUCCUACUCACAUUUUCCGAGCAUUUUAUAUCUGUUAGAGUCUAAGGUCUCGGCAAGUGCAUUUUUCUCUUUUGUGUUUCUUUUCUUUUUCUUUUUUUUUCUUUUAAAGACAAUACAUACUGUUUUUCUUUUUGUAUGAUCUCAUCUUAUGCACUUGCCUUCUCUUUCAAGAUUUCCACCCCAAACUUAGUUUUAUUGCACAUCUUGC
rnacentral:lncRNA from 1 species